GGUCAGGACGAACGCUGGCGGCGUGCCUAACACAUGCAAGUCGAGCGAGGAGAUUCCUUCGGGAUGAUCCUAGCGGCGGACGGGUGAGUAACACGUGGGCAACCUGCCUCAUAGAGAGGAAUAGCCUUCCGAAAGGGAGAUUAAUACCUCAUAACAUUGCAGUUUCGCAUGGAACAGCAAUUAAAGGAGUAAUCCGCUAUGAGAUGGGCCCGCGGCGCAUUAGCUAGUUGGUGAGGUAACGGCUCACCAAGGCGACGAUGCGUAGCCGACCUGAGAGGGUGGAUCGGCCACAUUGGGACUGAGACACGGCCCAGACUCCUACGGGAGGCAGCAGUGGGGAAUAUUGCACAAUGGGGGAAACCCUGAUGCCAGCAACGCCGCGUGAGUGAUGACGGCCUUCGGGUUGUAAAGCUCUGUCUUCAGGGACGAUAAUGACGGUACCUGAGGAGGAAGCCACGGCUAACUACGUGCCAGCCGCGGC
rnacentral:rRNA from 1 species